UUGAACGCUGGCGGCAUGCUUUACACAUGCAAGUCGAACGGCAGCGCGGGCUUCGGCCUGGCGGCGAGUGGCGAACGGGUGAGUAAUACAUCGGAACGUGCCCAGUAGUGGGGGAUAGCUCGGCGAAAGCCGGAUUAAUACCGCAUACGACCUGAGGGUGAAAGCGGGGGAUCUUCGGACCUCGCGCUAUUGGAGCGGCCGAUGGCAGAUUAGCUAGUUGGUGGGGUAAAGGCCUACGAAGGCGACGAUCUGUAGCUGGUCUGAGAGGACGACCAGCCACACUGGGACUGAGACACGGCCCAGACUCCUACGGGAGGCAGCAGUGGGGAAUUUUGGACAAUGGGCGAAAGCCUGAUCCAGCAAUGCCGCGUGUGUGAUGAAGGCCUUCGGGUUGUAAAGCACUUUUGGCGGGAACGAAAAGGACUGUGCCAAUACCACGGUUCGAUGACGGUACCCGCAGAAUAAGCACCGGCUAACUACGUG
rnacentral:rRNA from 1 species